rnacentral:lncRNA from 10 species
GCGCUCUGAGAGUUACGGAAGUCCCAAAAUGCUUUGACCGAAAACGUCUAAACAGUGAAUACAUAAAGCAAAAAGCCGCGUGGGAAAUUCGAGUCCCUAGGAGCGCCCAGGGGACGCCUCUGGAGGUGGACUGCCACUCACUCCAGGCCACGCUGGAAUGCCCGCACCAGGGAGGCACUGCACUUGAAUUGGGGACACUUUUUUUUUUUUUUUUCAUUUUUACCUUUCAUUCCCUUUUGGACAAUCCAGACAGGAUAUGUCUCUCCCUAGGGUGGGGAUUUCGACUCCUUAGGGUGGGAGUACAGCCGAUGAAGAGUUAAGGAGAGGAGUGGGUAGAUCUAGAUCUAGCCUUGGGUGGGUGGGGGCGGGGUUGGAGGAGCUCAGAGCACUGGCCCAGCGCUGCCCCCAACUUGCUGUGUGCUCUUGGACAAGUUAUCUCCCUUCUCUGGGCUUCAGAUAACCCAAGGAUCCUUACAUAUCUUUAUAGCUACAAAGCCCUGUGAGGUUUUGAAAAACUUCCUUGGUACCCAAAACCAGGUCUGAGGCACAGUCAGUGAAUACCUGUUUAAUGAAUGCAUGCAUAAAUGAAUGAAUGGAUGAUCCAGCUCUUCCUGGAGCAGGCACGACUUCCACAGAAACAGAGCAAACGCUAGCCGUAAGCAGAAGUGAGUCUUCUUCCUAUGUGAAGGGAUGUGGGGGUGGUACGCCCCUAUCAACUUUAUCUUUACAUAGUCCUUGAGCGCCCACCGGGCACCGUGUUCCCCGGACUAGAGGGAGGGAGAGGGGGGUUAGCUCCACCCUUAACAAGCUUAAUUCUUGAUGAGAUUAACCAUCAAAACCCAUCAGAGAACGUUAUAGCUCCAGCGCUGAAUGAGACAUCUUUGAUUCUGUGGUGAUGCGGACUUUGUGCCUCUCUGUGAGGAAUCACUUUGUUCCAAUGACGCAAUUUUCCUCACACUCCGGAAGUGUCCUGCACUGCCAGAAUCGCCCAGCUUCCCGGCACACCUAUCAACCAGUCGUUCCCAGCACUGCCCAGUAUGCAGCCUCCAGGCAGAGGGCCUGGAUGUCUUGGCAGGUAGGGUUCCCCUAGCAGCCUGGGGGUGGUCAGAUAGAAACAUUAACUGGAACGUAGAGGCCAGUUCUUGGCUCAGGGAGCCAGGAGGGCUCUGACUGUUGCACAUACAAGCCACUCACACUGCUAUCGCCCACAUACCUUCCUCUCCCGCCAGCCCACCCCAAAGCCCAAACUCCUGCCCGCAUGCUGGGAAGGUGAGCCCUUGCCUGGAGAGCCCAGCAGGGGAAAUAGAAGGAGGGAAGGAGGCCUGCUCCUUCCCCGGAGCUCUGCUCUGCGGCUGCAGGAAGACCCGCAGAGGCCCUGGGCAGCAGAACUGUGGACAGCAAGGCUGGAGUUGUGAAACCCAACCACUCAGCUGGAUUCCAGAAGCUCAGGUGGUGGUGACUAAACCUGGCCUUACUU